rnacentral:rRNA from 1 species
UACGUAGGGGGCGAGCGUUGUCCGGAUUUACUGGGCGUAAAGAGCGCGUAGGCGGAGCGUUAAGUCCGGUCUGAAAGCCCCCGGCUCAACCGGGGAAGGUGGCUGGAAACUGGCGUUCUGGAGGGCGAUAGAGGGGGGCGGAAUUCCUGGUGUAGCGGUGAAAUGCGUAGAGAUCAGGAGGAACACCCGUGGCGAAGGCGGCCUGCUGGGCAGUUUAGCUGACACUGAGGCGCGACAGCGUGGGGAGCAAACAGG